rnacentral:rRNA from 1 species
UAUUGGACAAUGGGCGCAAGCCUGAUCCAGCCAUGCCGCGUGAGUGAUGACGGCCUUAGGGUUGUAAAGCCCUUUUACCUGGGAAGAUAAUGACGGUACCAGGAGAAUAAGCCCCGGCUAACUUCGUGCCAGCAGCCGCGGUAAUACGAAGGGGGCUAGCGUUGUUCGGAUUUACUGGGCGUAAAGGGCGCGUAGGCGGGCGAUUAAGUCAGGGGUGAAAUCCCACAGCUCAACUGUGGAACUGCCUUUGAUACUGAUUGUCUUGAGUCCGGGAGAGGUGAGUGGAACUGCGAGUGUAGAGGUGAAAUUCGUAGAUAUUCGCAAGAACACCAGUGGCGAAGGCGGCUCACUGGCCCGGAACUGACGCUGAGGCGCGAAAGCGUGGGGAGCAAACAG